UACGUAGGUGGCAAGCGUUGUCCGGAUUUAUUGGGCGUAAAGCGCCCGCAGGCGGCUCGAUAAGUUUCAGGUGAAAUCUCCCGGCUCAACCGGGAGGGUGCCUGGAAAACUAUCAGGCUUGAGUCAUGGAGAGGGAUGUGGAAUUCCCGGUGUAGAGGUGAAAUUCGUAGAUAUUAGGAAGAACACCAGUGGCGAAGGCGGCUCACUGGCCCGGUACUGACGCUGAGGCGCGAAAGCGUGGGGAGCAAACAGG
rnacentral:rRNA from 1 species